GAUGAACGCUGGCGGAAUGCUUUACACAUGCAAGUCGAACGGCAGCACGGGGGCAACCCUGGUGGCGAGUGGCGAACGGGUGAGUAAUACAUCGGAACGUGCCCAAUCGUGGGGGGAUAACGUAGCGAAAGCUACGCUAAUACCGCAUACGAUCUACGGAUGAAAGCGGGGGGAUCGCAAGACCUCGCGCGAUUGGAGCGGCCGAUGGCAGAUUAGGUAGUUGGUGAGGUAAAGGCUCACCAAGCCUUCGAUCUGUAGCUGGUCUGAGAGGACGACCAGCCACACUGGGACUGAGACACGGCCCAGACUCCUACGGGAGGCAGCAGUGGGGAAUUUUGGACAAUGGGCGAAAGCCUGAUCCAGCCAUUCCGCGUGCAGGAUGAAGGCCCUCGGGUUGUAAACUGCUUUUGUACGGAACGAAACGCGUCGAGUUAAUACCUUGACGUAAUGACGGUACCGUAAGAAUAAGCACCGGCUAACUACGUGCCAGCAGCCGCGGUAUCUCG
rnacentral:rRNA from 1 species